rnacentral:rRNA from 1 species
GGGUGACGAGCGGCGGACGGGUGAGUAAUGUCUGGGAAACUGCCUGAUGGAGGGGGAUAACUACUGGAAACGGUAGCUAAUACCGCAUAACGUCGCAAGACCAAAGAGGGGGACCUUCGGGCCUCUUGCCAUCAGAUGUGCCCAGAUGGGAUUAGCUAGUAGGUGGGGUAACGGCUCACCUAGGCGACGAUCCCUAGCUGGUCUGAGAGGAUGACCAGCCACACUGGAACUGAGACACGGUCCAGACUCCUACGGGAGGCAGCAGUGGGGAAUAUUGCACAAUGGGCGCAAGCCUGAUGCAGCCAUGCCGCGUGUAUGAAGAAGGCCUUCGGGUUGUAAAGUACUUUCAGCGGGGAGGAAGGCGAUAAGGUUAAUAACCUUGUCGAUUGACGUUACCCGCAGAAGAAGCACCGGCUAACUCCGUGCCAGCAGCCGCGGUAAUACGGAGGGUGCAAGCGUUAAUCGGAAUUACUGGGCGUAAAGCGCACGCAGGCGGUCUGUCAAGUCGGAUGUGAAAUCCCCGGGCUCAACCUGGGAACUGCAUUCGAAACUGGCAGGCUAGAGUCUUGUAGAGGGGGGUAGAAUUCCAGGUGUAGCGGUGAAAUGCGUAGAGAUCUGGAGGAAUACCGGUGGCGAAGGCGGCCCCCUGGACAAAGACU